UCCAUAACUCCAGGAAGAAGGCAGAUCGCAAAUCCACUCGGGCUGCAGGUCCGCCGCCAUGUCUGCCAAUGAAGAGAGACGCGCGCGCAGGCACGCAGCGCGUACACGGAAACCUUGGCAACGGCGGAUGGCAGCCGUCAGCCGGCCAGCAGAGCGCGUGAAGGACCGAAGGGGCAGGGCCGCAUGAUCCAACCGUGACGCCCGAGAGUAGUAUUGAUCGGACAUGGGGGCUCACUUUGAAUUGACAGUCAGAUGUGUCAAAUGGUAAACACAAAGGGUCACUCAUCGCACCUGAGAUUGCUCAUGCGGUAACAUUUUUGGAUGCAGGCUGGUUGCUUUCCUUUCAAAAGGGAAGUCAACUCCAAAAUUUCCUCCAAAAUUAAAAAAAAAAAAAUCAUGUCAACUUGCAAUGUCAAUUUUUGAGAGGAGAAAUUAAUUUGUUCCAGCAAUUUCAGAAAAUGCCAAGUGCUCUUUCUCCAUCCAUUAAAAAUGCAUUCCAUCCAUCUGCACAAUGUAACAGACUAAGUUUUGUCAGCAGUGUAUUUUUUUUCUUUCUUUUUUUUUACACGAAGGAAAUGAGAACUCAAAAUGAAAUCUAUUUUUUGUCCCUCUUGAUCCCUGUCAAAAACAGAAAAUGAGAUUUUGAUCAUGUACUCACAUUUGUUGAAUAUCCCUCCCUUUCCCCAGAUCCAAUUUAAGAUUAUAAAAAGCUCUUGCUUUCUAUCCCGACUGAGCUGGCUAUCACCAUAUGCCAUUGAUACACGAGUAAGACUGACUCAAGAUUUGAGUUGCGUUGAUCACUGAUCUACUUCAACAUCAAAAGUACUUUUUGUUUUGUUGUGUCCAAAAGCAGAAUAAAUACAACAUAGUCAUUUGUAA